rnacentral:rRNA from 1 species
AUUGAACGCUGGCGGCAUGCUUUACACAUGCAAGUCGAACGGCAACGAGGAGAAGCUUGCUUCUCUGUCGGCGAGUGGCGAACGGGUGAGGAUAGCAUCGGAACGUGCCAAGUAGUGGGGGAUAACCAAACGAAAGUUUGGCUAAUACCGCGUAAGCUCCAAGGAGGAAAGUAGGGGACCUAAAUAAGGCCUUACGCUAUUUGAUCGGCCGAUGUCGGAUUAGCUAGUUGGUGGGGUAAUGGCUCACCAAGGCAAUGAUCCGUAGCGGGUCUGGGAGGACGAUCCGCGACACUGGGACUGAGACACGGCCCAGACUCCUACGGGAGGCAGCAGUGGGGAAUUUUGGACAAUGGGGGAAACCCUGAUCCAGCCAUGCCGCGUGUAUGAAGAAGGCCUUAGGGUUGUAAAGUACUUUUGUUAGGGAAGAAAAGCUAGUUUUUAAUAAAAAUUAGUGAUGACGGUACCUAAAGAAUAAGCACCGGCUAACUACGUG